AUAACGACUCUCGGCAACGGAUAUCUAGGCUCUCGCAUCGAUGAAGAACGUAGCGAAAUGCGAUACUUGGUGUGAACUGCAGAAUCCCGUGAACCAUCGAGUUUUUGAACGCAAGUUGCGCCCGAAGCCAUUUGGCCGAGGGCACGUCUGCCUGGGCGUCACGC
rnacentral:rRNA from 1 species